GUCAAAAUAUAGGGUACAGUGAACCUUUAUUUCUUCAACGAAUUCUGUAAUAACGUGUAAUCUUACGACGCAUAAUUGAAUGUUGUUGUUAUGUUAAUAACCAUGCUAUAAGCUAGCUUCAUACUAUAAAUAAAGACAUUCCGUAGUA